UGGAGACAUUUCAGCUUGCUUUCGCGCACAAAGCGCAUAUCAAACAAGAUCGUUUACUUUUUUCAAAGUUCUACGCGUAGUAGUUUUUUUUUUAAAGUACUUUGCUAAUAUAGACGGUCGCUUUCGUCCCUCACUAUACAUCUAUAGCGAUAUGCUCGAGAGCCCUUAAUGAGAUUUAAGGGGACAAGCAUGGGUUAACUCAUAGAGAUCAGCGAUCGAUGUUUGCUGAAUACUUAAAUGUUGUCCAUGAAACAGGGCACAAAACAUGACCUUGAACAUGUCACAAAACAUGUCUUCUCAUGAACUUGACAUUUUAAGCUUUCGAAGUCCGUAUACAUUUAGAUACAUGUAUGUUGAGAAGCGAGUAUGCGGUAAUUUAGAUUUCUGUACGAUCGAAGCGCACCUUGUGGCGAUAAGUGGUACCUCGAAAUAUACUUGUGUGCUAUACCUCUAGCUAUAUAUUAAAGGUU